rnacentral:lncRNA from 10 species
GAUUUCUCCUCCUGAUGGCCUGUUCUGUGGAUUUUGGAUUUGCCAAGGCAGCCCUCACAAUCCGACUCAGGCUACACCAAGUGCUGGACUCAGUCAGGACCAUAUAUGUAUAUAUUCCACGUGCCCAUUCAGAUGUGAUGAAACUCUUUUGCGACUGCUUGUCCUGAUGCUUUUGUCUUUUGCAUUGACUUUAGGUAAUGGAGACCCCUAAGUC